rnacentral:tRNA from 1 species
GCCCUUAUAGCUCAGUGGUAGAGCGUCAGUCUUGUAAACUGAAGGUCCGCAGUUCAAUCCUGCGUGAGGGCA